rnacentral:pre_miRNA from 1 species
AUCGCCUGGGGGUCUCGUUAAAAAGCAGAAUCUGAUUCAGCAGGUAUAGGGCAGGGCCCCAGAUGCUGCAUUUCUAACAAACUCCCAGGUGAUGCCAA